rnacentral:rRNA from 1 species
GAUGAACGCUGGCGGCGUUCCUAAUACAUUCAAGUCGAGCGAACGGACGAGAAGCUUGCUUCUCUUAUGUUAGCGGCGGACGGGUGAGUAACACGUUGAUAACCUACCUAUAAAACUUGGAUAACUUCGGGAAACCGGAGCUAAUACCGGAUAAUAUUUUGAACCGCAUGGUUCAAAAGUGAAAGACGGUCUUGCUGUCACUUAUAGAUUGAUCCGCGCUGCAUUAGCUAGUUGGUAAGGUAACGGCUUACCAAGGCAACGAUGCAUAGCCGACCUGAGAGGGUGAUCGGCCACACUGGAACUGAGACACGGUCCAGACUCCUACGGGAGGCAGCAGUAGGGAAUCUUCCGCAAUGGGCGAAAGCCUGACGGAGCAACGCCGCGUGAGUGAUGAAGGUCUUCGGAUCGUAAAACUCUGUUAUUAGGGAAGAACAUAUGUGUAAGUAACUGUGCACAUCUUGACGGUACCUAAUCAGAAAGCCACGGCUAACUACGUG